AUCAUCUAUUCACUCUUGCAGCUGUGGCUGCGGUGUCACCUGUGCAUCAUCAGUAGGUGGCAGAGAGAGAGGCUUUCUCUACACUCAGGGUUCUGACUGAUGACCAUCUGAAGGAUUAGUUGCCGACCAUU